rnacentral:rRNA from 1 species
GAUGAACGCUAGCUACAGGCUUAACACAUGCAAGUCGAGGGGAAACUACAUCGCAAGCUUGCUUUUGAUGGGCGUCGACCGGCGCACGGGUGAGUAACGCGUAUCCAACCUGCCCAUCACUUGGGGAUAACCUUGCGAAAGUAAGACUAAUAUCCAAUGAUAUCUUUAUUAGACAUCUGAAAGAGAUUAAAGAUUUAUCUUUGAUGGCUGGGGAUGCGUCUGAUUAGCUUGUUGGAGGGGUAACGGCCCACGAAGGCAAAGAUCAGUAGGGGAUCUGAGAGGAAGGACCCCGACAUUGGAACAGGGACAAGAUCCAAACGCGUAGGGGAAGCAGCGGAGAGGAAGAAAGGGAAGAGAGCGAGAGCCUGAAACAGCCAAGGAGCGAGGAGGAAGACGGGACUAUGGGUUGUAAACGGAUUUUAUGAGGGAAUAAAGGGAGAGACAGGACUCUUUGUGAAGGUACCUUAUGAAUAAGGACCGGCUAACUCCGUG